GGCACAGAACGAACGCUGGCGUCGUGCCUAAUACAUGCAAGUCGUGCGGGGGAAGAUCCUUCGGGAUCGGACCCAGCUUCGACCGGGUGAGUAACACGUGGGCAAUCUGCCCGCAAGACGGGGAUAACUCCGGGAAACCGGUGCUAAUACCCGAUAAUCCCGGCUCCCGCAUGGGAGCGGGGUGAAAGGCGGCUUCGGCUGUCACUUACGGAUGGGCCCGCGGCGCAUUAGCUAGUUGGCGGGGUAACGGCCCACCAAGGCGACGAUGCGUAUCCGGCCUGAGAGGGUGGACGGCCACACUGGGACUGAAACACGGCCCAAACUCCUACGGGAGGCAGCAGUGGGA
rnacentral:rRNA from 1 species